rnacentral:lncRNA from 1 species
UAUGUGAGGACACCAAGAGGUGACCAUGAGCAAGCCCAGGAGAGAGGCCUCAGAAGAAACCAGACCUGCUGAUUCCUUGAUCUUGAACUUCUAGCCUCCGGAACUAUCCAACUUGAAUGCUUCCUGAUUAAAUAUAUACAGGAGUGAUUUCAGAGGAAUUUAAGUUUUGGAUCAUUCUUUUGAGAAAGAAAGAAAAGUACCCUUUUAAAAGAGGUGGCUCUUGAACAACACAGGUUUGAACUGCAUCAUUCCACUUAUACACAGACUUUCUUCUGCCACUGCCACUCCUGAGACAACAUGACCAAUCUCUCCCCUUCCUCCUCCUCAGCGUACUUUCAACAUAAAGACGACGAGGAUAAAGGCAUUUAUGAUGAACUACUUCCACAUAAUGAAUAAUUGAACAAAGGAGAGAAUUGUGAGAGUGAGAAAAAGUGAGACAAAGAAGAAAAACUAUAAAUCAGCAAAAUACAGUGCCAAGAGCUCUGGACCACAAAUCAGAAGACCUGAGCCCUAAUUCCUUUCCAGUCAUUGGAUUUGUUCGUCGCUUGCCAAAACAGCAGCGAACUCUCUGUCAAACUGCAACUCAUUUUAUCGGAGCAAAAACUGAACAAAGAACUGCUAUCAUUUCUGAGGUGUGAUUUCUUAAGCAUUUUGUCUUGUGAUUGAUUUUUUAAAUAUAGUAAUUUUAAAGACACGGUUGAAAGAAGCAGCUGAUCGCUAAUAUCUGAUGGCUAAUAUGCUAAAUUUCCCUG